rnacentral:rRNA from 1 species
UACGGAGGGUGCAAGCGUUAUCCGGAUUUACUGGGUUUAAAGGGUGUGUAGGCGGACUUUUAAGUCAGGGGUGAAAUCCCGAGGCUCAACCUCGGAACUGCCUUUGACACUAUUGGUCUUGAAUGUUGUUGAGGUGGGCGGAACGGGUCAUGUAGCGGUGAAAUGCAUAGAUAUGACCCGGAACACCGAUUGCGAAGGCAGCCCGCUAAGCAACUAUUGACGCUGAGGCACGAAAGCGUGGGGAUCAAACAGG